rnacentral:rRNA from 1 species
ACAGCAGCAGCCGCGGGAAUACGGAGGGCGCGAGCGUUACCCGGAUUUACUGGGCGUAAAGGGCGUGUAGGCGGCCUGGGGCGUCCCAUGUGAAAGGCCACGGCUCAACCGUGGAGGAGCGUGGGAUACGCUCAGGCUAGAGGGUGGGAGAGGGUGGUGGAAUUCCCGGAGUAGCGGUGAAAUGCGCAGAUACCGGGAGGAACGCCGAUGGCGAAGGCAGCCACCUGGUCCACUUCUGACGCUGAGGCGCGAAAGCGUGGGGAGCAAACCGGAUUAGAGACCCGCGUAGUCCCUGUCUCUUAUAC